AUUGAACGCUGGCGGCAGGCCUAACACCUGCAAGUCGAACGAGUGGCGGACGGGUGAGUAAUGUCUGGGAAACUGCCCGAUGGAGGGGGAUAACUACUGGAAACGGUAGCUAAUACCGCAUACCAUCGGAUGUGCCCAGAAGGGAUUAGCUAGUAGGUGGGGUAACGGCUCACCUAGGCGACGAAACCUAGCGGGUCUGAGAGGAUGACCAGCAACAAGGGAACGGAGACACGGUCCAGACUACGACGGGAGGCAGCAGUGGGGAAUAGUGGACAAUGGGCGUAAGCCUGAUGCAGCCAUGCCGAGUGUAUGAAGAAGGCCUUCGGGUUGUAAAGGCCGUUCAGCAAGGAGAGGUUACCCGCAGAAGGAGCACCGGCUAACGCUGUGACAGCCGCCGCGGUAAUUC
rnacentral:rRNA from 1 species